rnacentral:rRNA from 1 species
UACGUAGGGUGCAAGCGUUAAUCGGAAUUACUGGGCGUAAAGCGUGCGCAGGCGGUGAUGUAAGACAGAUGUGAAAUCCCCGGGCUCAACCUGGGAACUGCAUUUGUGACUGCAUCGCUGGAGUGCGGCAGAGGGGGAUGGAAUUCCGCGUGUAGCAGUGAAAUGCGUAGAUAUGCGGAGGAACACCGAUGGCGAAGGCAAUCCCCUGGACCUGCACUGACGCUCAUGCACGAAAGCGUGGGGAGCAAACAGG